ensembl:lncRNA
CAGAGAUCAAGGACUGAGCAUAACACUGCCUGCAUGGAACAGUGGCAGCUUCAUGACCAUGGGGUGAAGACGUGAAUGAGAUGACGAUCUCUCGAGUCACUGAGAGCCAAACAAACAGAACUGAUGUAACUAUUAACACAAGGAAAGCAUAAUAGAAUAACCAUUCUGGAUAAAAGCCUGACAAAAAUGGAGCCUAGCAUGCCUGGUUUAUCAAAGAAGAGAAUAAAGAACAUCUGAUUAUGGUGCACAUGAACACCUUCAUGGUGAAAAACAGAUAACCUCCAAGGGCUGCCUAACCUAGAACAGAAACGCGCUGCAAGAAUCAAUGAAGGAAAACACAACAGAAUGAAGACAAUGCAGUGCUCAUCCACUAAGAAGCAAGUAUUUGGGGAUGAAAAAAAGUCUCAAGUCAACAGGACAUAUUUGUCUACUUAAUUAGGAGACAUUCUAUUAAAUGACCUGUAUCUGCCUGUUCCUUGAGCUGUGACUAAUACAGCUUUAAUUGCAUCCUGUGAAAGGUGUGCUGCAUUGCUUACUUGCUGUUAAGGAAACAGGAAUUAAAAUUGAUGUAAGAAUGAAGAUGCUGCAUCACCAUACGCGGUUGGCUCAUGAAGAAAAGGCAUUCCAAUCAUCAAGACAUCAUUUCCAAAGUCAGACAACAGACACCUUGACACAGUCAUACUAACGCUGAGGAAGUGGUGUUUCCUGAGUAUGUAAAAUGCUUAUACUAAGUUGCCAUUUCCUUGUAUCUGUGUAUGAACAAAGAAUAGCAACAAUGGUAACACAGCUAUUUACCAUUGCAUGGCAUUUUCUAAUCCUGUAACACUAACAUUGGACACACCCACUCCUAGAAUACAAGGAAGCCAAAAGAGAUUGUCUCAAAGCAAGUGAGUCCAUAUCAGUCCCCUGAGCAAUCUCAUUCUGGACAGUUACUCACACACACACACCUCCAGAGGCAGAGCUAGUGGGGAAGCAUACAGGACAAGCAGCCCCAACCUCUUGUUGACCCACACUGGCAGGAAGCAAUAAAAUUCUAGUGAAAGUAUUCCCCAUGACGCAGAAGAGGAAAGCUACAGAUUUCUUUCCCUGAGGAUAAAAAUUACGAAUAAUUACAGCAACGCGCUCUGUUCUCCUGCAAGGCUUGAACAGACAAGGCUCUGAGCCCCACCUAUAAAGAGCAAAAUUCUUCAGCUCUUACCAGCAGAUAACCAGUACAAUUCAGAGCAGAGCAAGUCAACAAGGAUUAGAUGCAGUCAGCACUCUCAGCAAGAGGUUAUGGGCAUACCUCUGAAUAUGCCUGGAUAGGAACACAGAGAGCUUCCCUGGGCUAUGGUGUCUUGUCACUGCUCACUGGGUAUUACUCAGCAGGUGUGGAGCUUUCAAGGCAAUGACCCAAACAAUGCUGAACAUCAGUUUACAGCGUGGAGCUUUUGCCUACCCCUCAUCUGUUGGUUCAUCUGUGUGUCACCUCAUUGCAUACCUUCUGUACCUGAGGCUCUACAGGCAGCUGUUUAUUGUGAAAAUAAUCAAUACACCAUACAUGGGGAAAAAAUAAUCCAUACAUGGUUUUGGGGAACACUUUUUACAUACACUGCUGCUGUAUUUGUAGACAAUUUAUUUCUGUUUGCCUUUUACUGUCAUACACAGAACGAUCACUCAAAAGAAUUUUAAGUUAAAAACAUACAGUUUAGAUUUUCAAUAAAUUUGAAGAAUUAUCUAAGAUGCUUUUGAGCAAUGCAAUUCACAAACGUACAUCAUAUGCAUCUCUAAAUCCUCCUUGGGUACAAUCAUGAAAAGAAUAACGUACCAACACAAUGCAUUACCUUGCAGAGCAGAGCUAAUGCUUUAACAACUGGUCUUCCAACACUAACAAAAAUAAGGCUUCAGUAAUUCCAUAAAAGUCAGAUUUCUCCUUCCUUUAUAUAUAGUUUUAUUAGCUACCUUGAAUUUGUUUUCAAGAAGGAUCGUCUUGGGGAGGAAAGUUAACUUUCUUCUCUAUUGUUACUUCUGUCCUAAAAAAGGACACUUAUAUUUUUGAAGUGCUGACAGAUAAUGUAAACAGAUUGCCUAGAGUGGAGUCUCCGUCAUUAGAAAUAUUUCAAAGCUGCCUGGACAAGGGCUGGGCAGCUAGCUCUAGGUGGGCUUACCUAAGCAGAGGAACCAGAGAAGAUGACCUCCAGAAGUCCCUUUCAACCUCAACCAGACUGAUUCUGCGAUCCCCUGUCUAACUUCUGCCCUUGGCUUGCUUUGCAGUCUUCAGUGAAGGAAAAAGUAAAAAGUCUGUUCUGCCAGAUAUUCUCAUCACUCCUAAAGAAAGGGCCCUGACCAUAAAACUGGAGGAAUAUCUGAAGCCACUGCUUCAAACAGACUAACUCAAUAAUUGUUAGUCAGUAGGAAAAGAAGAAAAUGUCUACACAACAUAAUUAUGAGAACUAAUUCCCAUUCCAUUCAAUAUAAAAGAUCUAAAUAUCCUCUGGAAUAGAAAUUAAAACCCUCAUGUUUCAUGCAUAAAUAAUACUUUCACAGGAGCACUUAAUUAGACCCAUUUCCAAAAGGCUUUCAUCUUUCGUAUUCUCAUAGGAAACACAAUAUGAAACUCUGUCCUUCCACACAAAAAAAGUGAUUCAAACUGCCAUAGAUACUAACGUUCAGAUAUUGUAUAAGUUAUUACUUUUUCCAGUAAGAGCAAACUCUAGCCAUCAAACAAAGGGGUAGACUGGGACAGGUUGCCCAGAGAGGUGGUGGAUGCUUCAUUCCUGGAGACAUUCAAGGUCAGAUUGGACAGGGCUCUGAGCAACCUGAUGUAGCUGCAGGUGUCCCUGUUCAUUGCAGGGGAGUUGGACUAGAUGGCCAUUAAAAGUCCCUUCCAACUCAAACAGUUCUAUGAGAAGCGAACUCUGACCAGAGGGAAGCAUGUAAAUCUCAAGAUUAAGGGCAAAACUCAAUUCUACAUUCAGCCUUGCCCCUUAACUGAAGGCUUCCUGCUCACAACAUCGAUAUCUUCUGGACUGGACUCUGAGACACUCACCUGUAGUUCAGUAUGCCAAGACGUCAGGUUGCUCUAGAUACUCAAAGCUUGGGGUCUGGUGCUCCUACAACAUUUUCUGGAUUCAACCUGCAGUCACUUUUGGAAGGACACCACGUCACUUUGUUUUUCACAGGCUUGUCUACAAACAGCAGGAGAUUGGGACUGCCCAAACUGGACAGUAAUAAAAUAACAUUGGCAGUCAAGUGAUAACACGGACCACACUAAUCUGUGGUUUUCUACAGAUAGGCAAAUUGGAGAGGGAGAAGGAAGUAUCACCCACUGUUCUAAUACACAUAUACAUGAAAUACAAAACAAACAAGAAUACUAAAUUCUUCUUGGCACCAUUAAAUAAAUUAAAAACAAGCAGCCCUUCCAUAUCUAAAGGGGAGAUACAGGAAAAAAGGGGGACAGACUCUUUAGCAGUGUCUGUGGCAAUAGAAUAAGAAGAAACGGCUUCAAGCUCAAGGAGGGUAGAUUUAGGUUAGAUAUAAGGAAAAAAAGUCUUCUACAGUGAAAGCGGUGAGGCUCUGGGACAGGUUGCCUAGUGACAUGGUUGAUGCCCCAUCUCUGUAGACUUUCAAGGCAAGGCUGGACAGGCCCUGGGCAACCUGAUCUAUUUGUAGAUAUCCCUGUUCAUUGCAGGGGAGUUGGACUACAUGGCCUUGAGAGUCCCUUCCAACUCUAAAGAUUCUAUGAUAAGAUUGGCAAAAACAUGGACAUAGAAAAGACCCAAAUUGAAACAAAUCAUUCUAGCCCAAAGCCAUCUAAUAGCCUUCACAUGGGCUUGCAUUCACACAUUUAUGUACCACUUAGGUGGUAAAACAUCUUCACCAAAGUUGAUAGAACGUUGUUUAAAAUAGGCCCUAAGGUGUGGCUUUAAAAUCAAUUAAAUUAAAAUGGUACAAAAAGUUGUGUUAAUUCCUCUGAGAUGCCAUUAGUGUUUCAGCUUCGUGUUCUAGCCAUGUACGAGUAAUUGUACAUGCAAGCCUAAACCUGUGGCCAACAUCAGACAGAGUGAUUAAUCCCAGGGAAAUCCAGCAAGAAAUGAGUAUGUUUAUUAUCUGUUGUAUAACUCAUCCCCUACUAAUAGUUAUAUGUAUUUUCAUUAGGUACAGUGCAUGAUCCUAUUAAUACUUGAUCAAGGAAAAUGGAACUUCUGAUAUCAGCAGGAACCCAGUCUUGUAAUUGCCUAGCAAAGUGUUUUAGGCAGCUCUCAUAAUAUAUGGCGACAGAAACUCCCAGAUGGUUAGCUAAAUAGGACAUUUGUCUUGAUUUAUAUAAAAGAAUUCUAGCACAGGUAGUACUAAUAAAAAACAAUCCACCACAAAUUUGGGGAAUUAGUUGAAUGCUCAGCACAUAAACAGAAUCUGCCCCUAAUGGAUUACACUAAUACCAGCAAGUCUGUAGAGACAGAUAUUCCCCUGUGCAGUUUCCAAUUAAAAUAUGCAUUAUUUAUAGCAGCAGAACUUUCAGCUCAACGUAACAAGACAAAGAGUCCUUUGUCAACUCUGUUACAAUCCCUAACCUAUGCUGAGACCGCACUCUCUGGAACAAGUGCUCUAUGAAAAGUCUUUCCUGACAGACAUGGGAAAUAGAAGGAAAGGGAAUGCAAGGGGCAAUUUGUUAAAAAGAAAGAAAAUAUUUCAUCUAACAGCUUUAUAGCAGUUGCACAGAAAACAUUCCUCAGUUUCUCCUUGUAAUCACAUACAUUCACACUCAAGAAUGGACAUAUAUUGCUUACAUUUAUCAGUUUACACAGGAAAAAAAAAACAAGGCAUAUUUUGAUAUUCCUAGAAAAACUGUGCUUGGAACCGGAAGAUGACUAAGAAAAUUUGUAAUAUAUGUGACAAUUGAACUAGCAACAGUUUACUGAUUAAAAAUAUUUAAUAUUAGUAAAUGAUAGUUUUAUAGGAUAGACACAUCAGUCUUCCAUAAUAGCUAUUCCUGAAAGAUCGGGGUGUGUGGAUGUGGUUAGGAUUCCAAGAUGCCUUAUACUGCAAAUGAGAAACAAUGAGAAACAUUAGGACUACCACUUUCUGUACCACUGUACCACUUCCUAUAGUGCAGAGAAGGAUUUCUGAUGGACCACGUCACAUUCUUACUUAAAAACACUGAGACAUAUUAAAAUACUUCACUUUACAACAGAAUAAUUGCAGUGCCUGGAGAUACUGUAAAGACCAGAUUUGGCUCUAUAAAUCAUACCUUGUAUGUACAAGAACUGCUCUCAGCAGUCACUCUUUUCAAUACAUGAAUGCUGAAUAUUUCUGCAAACUUACAAUCGGCUAAUAAAUAUAUUAGAAAAUAAGAAAUAAAGCACUUGUUUUACAUUCAUAAUCAAUUCUUAAUUGAUUUAUUUAGCCUGCUGCACAAUCUGCACAAACAACAGUGGGGGGAAAAAAAAUCAGCACAUUAAAAAUUCCAGUGAGCACACAACUGCACCAUGCUUUGCCUGCAGCUCUGCUGCUCCAAGCUGUACUCCUGCCUGUUUUCAAAUGCUAGUGUUGAGCUUAGUACUUACAUGAAUGAAACAAAAAACAGACAGAACACUGUCAAAAGUAAUCUCUAGUAAUUUGGUAAGUGGUAUAGACCACCCUUCACAACAUUACUGAAAAAAAUUCCCUAAAAAAAAAAGUAGGCAUUAAAUGGCUUACACCACAAUUGUCAAGGUGACAUUAAAAGUAAAGCUCGGUCCACUUAACAACUAUUAGAAGUCCCCUUGUGCUUUUUGCAAGAUUGGGACCGUAGAUCUGAAUUUUGGCCGAAUUCCAGUUCAGUUAAUUAAAUUCCACACAUCCACAUCCUUUCUGCAGUUCAUAUCUUUUGCUGCUACUAAAUGCUAUUAAACAAUGAACAUGCAAAAUCAACGUCCUCUGGGUUUAACAUCAGCAAGGAUCAAAAUAUUUCCCCAAAGCAAAGUUAGUGAAAAGCUGCUGGAAUACUUGAAUAAAGCACAGCUGUUGUUAAAAUGAGUACUUCCCAUUCAAGCAAUUUAAAGAACCAUUAGAAUACUGCAGCAUUUUGACUGACUUAAAAUGUAAAAAGAUUAUUUCUUGUUAGUAAUUAUGCAUGGCCUCAUCUGCAAUGCUCAACUGUUACACACCUAUAUGAAGAGGAAUCAAUCUGGUGCAUGUUUCCAACCUUUCCUGCUCUGACUGUACAACAGGAAGGUGUGGUCUGUGAUGCGUAUGAGUUUCUAACAGGGAAAGAAGCAUCAUCCUUUCAGAAAAAAAUAAAAUUAAAAAUAAAUAUAAACAUUCUCUUCAAUUCUUUAAGAUACCUUCUACAAUUCGCAAAAUGCUACUCUCCACAUAUCUCCUUCUACUUAUAUUAUCC